rnacentral:rRNA from 1 species
AUUGAACGCUGGCGGCAGGCCUAACACAUGCAAGUCGAACGGUAGCACGGAGGAGCUUGCUCCUUGGGUGACGAGUGGCGGACGGGUGAGUAACGUCUGGGAAACUGCCCGAUGGAGGGGGAUAACUACUGGAAACGGUAGCUAAUACCGCAUAACGUCUUCGGACCAAAGUGGGGGACCUUCGGGCCUCACACCAUCGGAUGUGCCCAGAUGGGAUUAGCUAGUAGGUGGGGUAAUGGCUCACCUAGGCGACGAUCCCUAGCUGGUCUGAGAGGAUGACCAGCCACACUGGAACUGAGACACGGUCCAGACUCCUACGGGAGGCAGCAGUGGGGAAUAUUGCACAAUGGGCGCAAGCCUGAUGCAGCCAUGCCGCGUGUAUGAAGAAGGCCUUCGGGUUGUAAAGUACUUUCAGCGGGGAGGAAGGCGUUAAGGUUAAUAACCUUGGCGAUUGACGUUACCCGCAGAAGAAGCACCGGCUAACUCCGUGCCAGCCGCCGCCGUAA